AGACUACAUGGCAUCAUCGGAGCCCAAUUCUCCCACCAAAGCAAACACGGAAUAUCCAAACACACCAGAAAAGCAAGACCUAGUUUCAAAAUCAUAUUUGAUCAUGAUGCUGGAGGACUUCAAGAAAGACAUAAAGAACUCCCUUAGAGAACAAGUAGAAGCCUACAGAGAGGAAUCGCAAAAAUACCUGAAAGAAUUCCAGGAAA
rnacentral:lncRNA from 1 species